rnacentral:rRNA from 1 species
CCUACGGGAGGCAGCAGUAGGGAAUAUUGCACAAUGGGGGAAACCCUGAUGGAGCGACGCCGCGUGAGUGAAGAAGGAAUUCGUUAUGUAAAGCUCUGUCAGCAGGGAAGAAAAUGACGGUACCUGAGUAAGAAGCACCGGCUAACUACGUGCCAGCAGCCGCGGUCAUACGUAGGGGGAAAGCGUUAUCCGGAUUUACUGGGUGUAAAGGGAGCGUAGACGGUAGUGCAAGUCUGGAGUGAAAGGCGGGGGCUCAACCCCAGGACUGCUCUGGAAACUGUACGGCUGGAGUGCAGGAGAGGUAAGUGGAAUUCCUAGUGUAGCGGUGAAAUGCGUAGAUAUUAGGAGGAACACCAGUGGCGAAGGCGGCUUACUGGACUGCAACUGACGUUGAGGCUCGAAAGCGUGGGGAGCAAACAGGAUUAGAUACCCUGGUAGUC